rnacentral:rRNA from 1 species
AUACAUGCAAGUCGAACGCGUUGGCCCAAUUGAUUGAUGGUGCUUGCACCUGAUUGAUUUUGGUCGCCAACGAGUGGCGGACGGGUGAGUAACACGUAGGUAACCUGCCCAGAAGCGGGGGACAACAUUUGGAAACAGAUGCUAAUACCGCAUAACAACGUUGUUCGCAUGAACAACGCUUAAAAGAUGGCUUCUCGCUAUCACUUCUGGAUGGACCUGCGGUGCAUUAGCUUGUUGGUGGGGUAAUGGCCUACCAAGGCGAUGAUGCAUAGCCGAGUUGAGAGACUGAUCGGCCACAAUGGGACUGAGACACGGCCCAUACUCCUACGGGAGGCAGCAGUAGGGAAUCUUCCACAAUGGGCGCAAGCCUGAUGGAGCAACACCGCGUGAGUGAAGAAGGGUUUCGGCUCGUAAAGCUCUGUUGUUAAAGAAGAACACGUAUGAGAGUAACUGUUCAUACGUUGACGGUAUUUAACCAGAAAGUCACGGCUAACUACGUGCCAGCAGCCGCGGUAAUACGUAGGUGGCAAGCGUUAUCCGGAUUUAUUGGGCGUAAAGAGAGUGCAGGCGGUUUUCUAAGUCUGAUGUGAAAGCCUUCGGCUUAACCGGAGAAGUGCAUCGGAAACUGGAUAACUUGAGUGCAGAAGAGGGUAGUGGAACUCCAUGUGUAGCGGUGGAAUGCGUAGAUAUAUGGAAGAACACCAGUGGCGAAGGCGGCUACCUGGUCUGCAACUGACGCUGAGACUCGAAAGCAUGGGUAGCGAACAGGAUUAGAUACCCUGGUAGUCCAUGCCGUAAACGAUGAGUGCUAGGUGUUGGAGGGUUUCCGCCCUUCAGUGCCGGAGCUAACGCAUUAAGCACUCCGCCUGGGGAGUACGACCGCAAGGUUGAAACUCAAAGGAAUUGACGGGGGCCCGCACAAGCGGUGGAGCAUGUGGUUUAAUUCGAAGCUACGCGAAGA